rnacentral:rRNA from 1 species
UACGUAGGGUGCGAGCGUUGUCCGGAAUUAUUGGGCGUAAAGAGCUCGUAGGCGGUGUGUCACGUCGGCCGUGAAAACCUGGGGCUUAACUCUGGGCGUGCGGUCGAUACGGGCAUCACUAGAGUUCGGCAGGGGAGACUGGAAUUCCUGGUGUAGCGGUGAAAUGCGUAGAUAUCUGGAGGAACACCGGUGGCGAAGGCGGCAUCCUGGACCAAUAUUGACGCUGAGGAGCGAAAGCUAGGGGAGCAAAU